UUGAAGGUGCUGCUCCAGAGUGCUCAUUUAGUGACCGCCAGCUCAAUAUCACACUCUGCUUAAGGUAUGCGUAUUUGCAGAUGACAGGUUUGAACAGGUAAGUGUUUCUUCAGCCUUUCUUCCACUGCCGGCGUUAACAUGUCCUCGGGUGAAUGGUGAAGCCGAAGGUCAUGACAAAGUGUAAAAAUGCAUCUUCAUAGGUGAAGCAGAGGCGACCAGCUCACGUUGACACAUUGAAGGCAAAGUUAUGCAUCAACCUCCCGAGAUGCUCCAUGUAUAAAACAUGUCUGGUGAUUGUGAGUGCAAGCCAAGCGAUUGAUCGCGUGCAGAGUCAGCCCUCCCUGGGAACAAUGUGGAGCCAGCGUGCCUUCACAGGGGGCUACCACUGGACUUGGCCCAUCUUCAAAGUAGUGGUCAGAAGUCAAUGGUGGUGGCUGUGUUGAAGGGAGGAACCCCACAGGAUUUGCCAAAGACAUCAGUUCUUGUUUUAGAUGCAUUGUUCUCAGAGGUAAGCAGUAAUUGCAGCGACAGGGUUAGCGGUGAGAGGCCUGCACUGAAAUGGCGCCUUACCCGUGGUACCAGACGAUGUUCAUCUCUGGAGUGUAAUACUUCAUGGGACACUGCAGCUGAAUGCCUGUGGCUGUGCACUGGAUCACGAGCUCCUGCGCACUCACCCCUGAGGGUGAUGAUAGAGGUUUACGCUCAACUCCAACAGAUGAAGCAUGCUCAGGGAAGGCAGAAUAAAAUUUGUCACACACUUGCUGCGAGCAACGCAGCCACACAGGUGCAUUGCUAGGCUUUUCACAGCACAGUAGCUUGUUUACACACACACCACCAUCUGACAUAUGAAUUAUCCUUCUUGGAUUGAAUUGUUUUUAUAAGAGUGAGAAGCUAAAAUUGGAAACAUGUUCAAAUGUCAAUUAAUUGUCCAGCCCUACAUCAUAAUAUACAGUAGCACAAUGUUUGUGUGAAGCAGGAAGACACCUACCAGCCAGUCGGGUGAUCUGGUUUAUGGCCUCUUCAAAAACUACAAAAUAAUACACAAAAAUUAAACGGAUGUAAAGUCACAGGGCUGCUGUUUGUAUACCACAUCUAAGACUGAACAAAUAGUCUUUCAUUACAAUUGGUCGAUAAUUUAUUUAGGAGAAUCAAUUUUAAUACAGGUCAUUUGCUACGUUGUACUAGAAAAGCAGAGCUCAAUGAAUCCGAAAAUGUGUUACUUCCAUGCAGCUAAACAACUUGGCAAAAACUCAGCAGCUGCAGAUACAGUUUUGCCUUAAGAUACAAGUUUCAUUCAUUUCAUGACUACGCCUGUUUCUCGAAUCCUUAGUUCCUGGUGUUAUGAACAAAAAUGCUAAUCAUUUGUUCCUGGCUCCCAAAAAAACAACCAAAAAUUCUGAAAUGUGUUUUAAAAAGCAACAUCACCAUCUGUAAUAGUAUAUGUUGAUAAUAAAUUGAUACAGCAAUGGCAUAAUUAAAUAUAAUGUAAAAAAAUUCAACAACCCCAUACCCCCUUUCCUUUUUUCUUUAGUUCAAUGGACACUGCCCAUCUUCAAAACCCUCCUCAAAACUCACUUGUCUUCUUUGGCAUUCAACUCAGCAUGAGUUAGAUUUGUUCUUGGUUUUACUGUUUGGUGCUUUCUACCGCCUUUAUUACUGAUUUGUCUUACUGUUUAUUAUGCAUGUUAAAUUGCUCCAUGUACAGCACUUUGUAUGCAGCGAUGGCUGUUUGAAAGUGCUCUAUAAAUACUGUUGACUUGACUU